UUCACCGGAUGCCCUGGCCACAGUAAUGUCCACAAUGCCGCAACUCAGGUCCAUAUUGUGGCUCAGUUAGAAACAAAGAGGUGUGUAAUGCCUCCGCCAACGAUCGAACCUCUGACCAAUGCCACGUGUAAGCCAUGGUUAAAGAGUUGUCGCGGUCAUAAACCACUACACCACACCCGUGGUUCAUAAAGGUGAUAUAUAGUUUGAUUGUUUGAUGCACUUGGCAUAAUUAAGCUACUGUUUCUAUUUUGGUGGGACAACCUCAUAAACGUCAACCAGGAGUGUCUAUAUGAACUCCAUAACCAAUUACUAAACACCUUAGUAUAUACGUUCUAACUUCCAUCUUUUUCAAAUUUCUAUACAACGGGAAAAAAAAAUAAACAGCCUUCAGAAUUUAAGGAGUCACCUCAAAUGAGCAAAAGCAGCUUUGAAUGUAGGCAGUCAAAGCGUCAAGCAGAUGGUUGAAUAUAAGAAGAUACUGCGAGUUUUGUCCAGAUGUCCUUGUAGAUAUUGUAGGGAUCCUUUAGUGUAUAGGAAGAUUGCUUCUAUUAGAAUACCAGUACUUGUGCUUACAUUUUGAAAGACAUUCAUCAAUAUUAAAUUUUCUUAUUCUACUGUCCUCAAUGAGGUAACUCUCUAUGCUUUGUUUCUGUGGCUUAUAAUUUGACAGUGAAGGUGCUAUUCUUUCGAAGCUUAUAACUCAAUGGUUUGGUUGGUGUAUUUCAGACAUGGUGCUCUCACAUGGCUUCCCUGUCCUGUGAUAGCAUUAUCAUUCCCAAGCAUGAUACUCCCUGCAAAAGCUGCCAGUAUCCCCGAGGGAAUUGGCUUUGCUUGUACUGUAAGGCUAUCCUCUGUAGACAAUCUGUGAACAAGCACAUGAUUGAGCAUUACAAGAAGACGGAUCAUUGUCUUACUAUCUACUGCUGGUAAUUAAUCUGACAUAUGCUUUGUAGAUCCACGAAUUGAAGACUUCAAUUUUCCAAGCUCUUCACUUUUCUAUCGUGACUUGAUACAAAUGUCUACUGUUGUACCUUUAGUGAAGCAAAUCCAGUAGUUUAGUGUUACUCCUGCAAGGCAGAGAACAAAGUUCAUGAAGUACUUCGACGAUUGAAGGAGCUUUCUUCAUCCCCCAAGGGCAUGUCCUCAUUGAAGCUAGAGAAGCUAGAUGCUAUGAUGGUUGAUGUUGCUAAUCUCAUCUCUAUGCCAAUUCAUG